UGGUUCUGGCAUCGAUGAAGAACGCAGCGAAAUGCGAUAAGUAAUGUGAAUUGCAGAAUUCAGUGAAUCAUCGAAUCUUUGAACGCACAUUGCGCCCUUUGGCAUUCCGAGGGGCAUGCCCGUUCGAGCGUCAUUAAAUCCACUCAAGCCUGGCUUGGUAUUGGGCGACGGGGUCUUCCCCGCGCCUCCAUUUCGCCGGCUGGCUGUCGUUUGACUUAGCGUUGUGACACAUAUCGCUGACGACGAAGACGGACCGCGCCGUGAGAAUUUCCUUGGGUGCUUUCGGGCGCUCAGUAAAGGUUGACCUCGGAUCGGGUAGGAAUACCCGCUGA
rnacentral:misc_RNA from 1 species